AGCGUUCCAUGUGGGGCGAAGCGUUAGCGUAAGCGGGCGUGGACUGCAUGGAAGUGAGAAUGUCGGCUUGAGUAGCGAAAACAUGGGUGAGAAUCCCAUGCCCCGAAACCCUAAGGGUUCCUCCGGCAGGCUCGUCCGCGGAGGGUUAGUCAGGACCUAAGGCGAGGCCGAAAGGCGUAGUCGAUGGACAACAGGUCAACAUUCCUGUACCGAUCAUGUUUUGGGAAGGGGGACGGAGAAGGCUAGCCCAGCCAGAUGUUGGUUACUGGUCCAAGCGUUCGAGGCGUUGAGAGCUGGAGAAAACAGCUUGAGCUGAGGCGUGAGUGCGAGCUUCUACGGAAGCGAAGUGGGUGACGUCAAGCUUCCAAGAAAAGCCCUAUACCCGUUAAGGCAUGAUUGCCUGUACCCGAAACCGACACAGGUGGGGUGGUAGAGAAUACCGAGGGGCGCGAGGUAACUCUCUCUAAGGAACUCGGCAAAAUGGCCCCGUAACUUCGGGAGAAGGGGUGCCACCGCAAGGUGGUCGCAGUGAAGAGGCCCAGGCGACUGUUUACCAAAAACACAGGUCUCCGCUAAGUCGCAAGACGAUGUAUGGGGGCUGACGCCUGCCCAGUGCCGGAAGGUUAAGGAAGCUGGUCAGCGCAAGCGAAGCUGGCGACUGAAGCCCCGGUGAACGGCGGCCGUAACAAUAACGGUCCUAAGGUAGCGAAAUUCCUUGUCGGGUAAGUUCCGACCCGCACGAAAGGCGUAACGAUCUGGGCGCUGUCUCGGAGAGAGGCUCGGCGAAAUAGAAAUGUCUGUGAAGAUGCGGACUACGUGCACCCGGACAGAAAGACCCUAUGAAGCUUUACUGUAGCUUGGUAUUGUGCUCGGGCUCGGAAUGCGCAGGAUAGGUGGGAUGCUUUGAUCCAUUGCUUGCGGGUGAUGGUGAGCCACUGGUGAGAUACCACUCUUUUCGAGCUUAAGUUCUAACCCUCGCCCGUUAUCCGGGGAGGGGACAGUAUCAGGUGGGCAGUUUGACUGGGGCGGUCGCCUCCUAAAAGGUAACGGAGGCGCGCAAAGGUUCCCUCAGGCUGGUUGGAAAUCAGCCGACGAGUGCAAAAGCAGAAGGGAGCUUGACUGUGAGACCUACAAGUCGAACAGGGACGAAAGUCGGCUUUAGUGAUCCGACGGUUCUGUGUGGAAGGGCCGUCGCUCAACGGAUAAAAGUUACUCUAAGGAUAACAGGCUGAUCUCCCCCAAGAGUUCACAUCGACGGGGAGGUUUGGCACCUCGAUGUCGGCUCAUCGCAACCUGGGGCUGAAGUCGGUCCCAAGGGUUGGGCUGUUCGCCCAUUAAAGCGGUACGCGAGCUGUGUUCAGAACGUCGUGAGACAGUUCGGUCCAUAUCCGGUGCAUGCGCAGGAACAUUGAGAGGAUUUCUCCCUAGUACGAGAGGACCGGGAGGAACGCACCUCUGGUGUACCAGUUAUCGUGCCAACGGUAAACGCUGGGUAGCCAUGUGCGGAGCGGAUAACCGCUGAAAGCAUCUAAGUGGGAAGCCCACCUCAAGAUGAGUGUUCCCAUGGCUUAAGCCAGUAAGGUCACGGGAAGAACACCCGUUGAUAGGCUCUAUGUGGAAGCGCAGCAAUGCGUGAAGCAGAGGAGUACUAAUAGACCGAGGGCUUGACCA
rnacentral:rRNA from 1 species